rnacentral:rRNA from 1 species
GAUGAACGCUGGCGGCGUGCCUAAUACAUGCAAGUCGAGCGAACAGACGAGGAGCUUGCUCCUCUGACGUUAGCGGCGGACGGGUGAGUAACACGUGGAUAACCUACCUAUAAGACUGGGAUAACUUCGGGAAACCGGAGCUAAUACCGGAUAACAUGUUGAACCGCAUGGUUCAACAGUGAAAGACGGUUUUGCUGUCACUUAUAGAUGGAUCCGCGCCGCAUUAGCUAGUUGGUAAGGUAACGGCUUACCAAGGCAACGAUGCGUAGCCGACCUGAGAGGGUGAUCGGCCACACUGGAACUGAGACACGGUCCAGACUCCUACGGGAGGCAGCAGUAGGGAAUCUUCCGCAAUGGGCGAAAGCCUGACGGAGCAACGCCGCGUGAGUGAAGAAGGUCUUCGGAUCGUAAAACUCUGUUAUUAGGGAAGAACAAAUGUGUAAGUAACUAUGCACGUCUUGACGGUACCUAAUCAGAAAGCCACGGCUAACUACGU